rnacentral:lncRNA from 1 species
AGGUAUAUUCAGUGUUUUCCUUUUUUCACUAAGGGAAGGUGGGUGUUUUAAAAAAAUCACUUGCAACCGGGUGGUUUUUUUUAAAUGUCCAACCGUUUUUUUUUAUUUACUGUGGGUGCACGUGGGGGUCACAAAAAUAAAGAUUAGUAUAAUAUUCACAUUUAAUGGAGUUGAACAAACAUAAAUAGAAGUAGUCAUAUUAAUAACUUUUAGUGCAUACAAUAUAAGUUUUAAUUAACUCCCGUCUGGAUAAUAUCAGUUGCGGAGGUGUUCCAUAAUUGGAAGUAUAUACGUACAGAAGAGGAAGGAUUGUCAAAUAUUUUUUGAUUUGAUUUUGUUCAACAAUUUAUCUCUUUUCUCUCUUCUUUCAUUUACAAUUUUAUGUCCUGUUUCUUGCUUUUGUGUCAUAUUUUUGGCACACAGAACAGUAAUAUCCUUCCUCUGUGACUAUAAGCCAUUUGAAGUCUUGCUCAUAUUUGUCUUCACUUGUGUGUCUUUUCAGUUGUUUGGUUGAUUUUUGUUCAAUUUCCACAACUUCAACAUUACUAUCAAUUUUAUUUAACUUAUUUGGUCUGGUAUUUUCUUUAUCAUCAUUGUCAUCUGCCUUUCUUUUACCCGAUUGAUAAAUGAAAACAUUGAAAUUUGACGAUUGGACGCCAUCUUUGUCAAUGAAAACAAAUCAGCGAGGCGCCAUUAGUAUUCAAAUUUUAACGGUAC